rnacentral:rRNA from 1 species
UUGGAUACUGAGUUGUCUCUGCUCCAUGGGUUAAAUAGCCGCAGUAUUUUGACUGUGCUAAGGUAGCAUAAUAAUUUGUUCUUUAAUUGAGGGCUGGAAUGAAGGAGCUGACGACACUUAAACUUUUUAGCUAAUUGCUGGAAUUUAAUAUUUGCUUCAAAAAGAGCAAAUAGCUGGGGGGACGAUAAGACCCUGUAAAACUUUAAUUUGUAGUUAUUUUACGUUAUUUGGGAUAAAGUAAAAUAUUUGAAUUAAGCUGGGGCGGCAAUUAAAAUACACUAAGAAAGGUAACAUUACAGGUGAUUUUAAAGAUCUUACUAAAAGGUGGAAUAAGUUACUUCAGGGAUAACAGCACAAUUUUUUCAGAUAGUUCACAUAAAAGGAAAAGACUUGUGACCUCGAUGUUGAAUUGGGGUGUCUUAUUUAAGCAGAAAUAAAUAAAGAGAGUCUGUUCGACUUUUAAUCCCCCACGUGAUC